GUGAAUCAUCAAAUUUUUGAACGCAAAUUGCGCUUCCUAGCAUCCCGGGAAGUAUGCCUGUUUGAGGGUCAAUAUUAACAAAAAAAUCGGUUUGGUUGCAAAUUGUGACGUUUCCGGAGUUUGGGCUAUCUUAACUUUUUUGGUUAAGGGGCUUAAAAUUGACCUUUUUUGCGCAUUUUUAGACGUACAUAAAUUUUUUUUUUAUUUGGUUUUUUUUAAUGCUAAAAUUUUUUUGU
rnacentral:misc_RNA from 1 species